UACGUAGGGUGCGAGCGUUAAUCGGAAUUACUGGGCGUAAAGCGUGCGCAGGCGGUUCGUUAAGUCAGAUGUGAAAGCCCCGGGCUCAACCUGGGAACUGCAUUUGAAACUGGCGGGCUUGAGUAUGGCAGAGGGGGGUGGAAUUCCGCGUGUAGCAGUGAAAUGCGUAGAGAUGCGGAGGAACACCGAUGGCGAAGGCAGCCCCCUGGGCCAAUACUGACGCUCAGGCACGAAAGCGUGGGGAGCAAACAGA
rnacentral:rRNA from 1 species